rnacentral:rRNA from 1 species
CAAUAGCCUAACGGCUGAACCAGCACUUGGAGGAUGUAUAGCGAAAGCUAGUUGUAUUAAUAUAUCUUUAGUUAAUGCAGCAUCGACUAUGUCGAAUAAAGUUCUAGGUAGAGUUAUGAUAAUGACAUUUUCUACCUAUGUGUCUUGACCAAGUCACGUGCCAGCAGUCGCGGAAAUACGUGGAAGACUAGUGUUAUUCAUCUUUAAUAGGUUUAAAGGGUACUUAGACGGUAAAUUUAGCCCAGAUAAAAAAAAAGGGUACUAAUAUACUAGAGUUUUGUAUGUGAGGAGGGAGUGUACAAAUGGUGUAGAGAUGAAAUUCUGUCAUACCAUUAGGACAGGCAACGGCGCAAGCAACCUUUUGUGUGAAAACUGACGUUGACGGACGAAGGCUUUGUAACGCCAACAGGAUUAGAUACCCAAGUAGUCUGAGCAGACAAUUAUGAAUGUCAUAGAUAAGAAAAAAAUCUUUUCUUAUCUUCUAAAAGAGAUAAGAAAAGAUUCUUAUCUCUUGUAAAAGAGAUAGAUGUAAUUUUGUCUAUAAAUGAAAGUGUAAGCAUUCCACCUCAAGAGUAAUGCGGCAACGCAUAAACUGAAAUCAUUAGACCGUUUCUGAAACCAGUAGUGAAGUAUGUUGUUUAAUUUGACGGUCCGCACAAAACCUUACCACAAUUUGUAUAUUAUUAUCUUAAUACAGGAGUUGCACGGCUGUCUUCAGUUAAUGUCGUGAGAUUUUGGUUAGUUCCAUUAAAUUAACGUAAACCCAUACUUUAUUUAUGUUAUAAAGUAGUUCGCCGCUAUAUUGGAUAUGAUAAAAGGGACUAAGACAAGUCAUCAUGGCCUGAAUAUUGUGGGCUA